CCCCUAGAUGUUCUGGGCCGCACGCGCGCUACACUGAACAGUUCAACAAGUCUUAACCUUGGCCGAUAGGUCUGGGUAAUCUUUGAACGCUGUUCGUGACUGGGAUAGACCUUUGCAAUUAUGGGUCUUCAACGAGGAAUUCCUAGUAAACGCAAGUCAUCAGCUUGCAUUGAUUACGUCCCUGCCCUUUGUACACACCGCCCGUCGCACCUACCGAUUGAAUGGUCCGGUGAAAUCUCGGGACGGCGGCUUGGUCGCUUGCGUCCGACUGCUGAAACUUGAUUAAACCAUAUCACUUAGAGGAAGGUGAAGUCGUAACA
rnacentral:rRNA from 1 species